rnacentral:rRNA from 1 species
GAUGAACGCUGGCGGCGUGCCUAAUACAUGCAAGUCGAGCGAACGGACGAGAGGCUUGCUUCUCUGAUGUUAGCGGCGGACGGGUGAGUAACACGUGGAUAACCUACCUAUAAGACUGGGAUAACUUCGGGAAACCGGAGCUAAUACCGGAUAAUAUUUUGAACCGCAUGGUUCAAAAGUGAAAGACGGUCUUGCUGUCACUUAUAGAUGGAUCCGCGCUGCAUUAGCUAGUUGGUAAGGUAACGGCUUACCAAGGCAACGAUGCAUAGCCGACCUGAGAGGGUGAUCGGCCACACUGGAACUGAGACGCGGUCCAGACUCCUACGGGAGGCAGCAGUAGGGAAUCUUCCGCAAUGGGCGAAAGCCUGACGGAGCAACGCCGCGUGAGUGAUGAAGGUCUUCGGAUCGUAAAACUCUGUUAUUAGGGAAGAACAUAUGUGUAAGUAACUGUGCACAUCUUGACGGUACCUAAUCAGAAAGCCACGGCUAACUACGUGCCAGCAGCCGCGGUAAUACGUAGGUGGCAAGCGUUAUCCGGAAUUAUUGGGCGUAAAGCGCGCGUAGGCGGUUUUUUAAGUCUGAUGUGAAAGCCCACGGCUCAACCGUGGAGGGUCAUUGGAAACUGGAAAACUUGAGUGCAGAAGAGGAAAGUGGAAUUCCAUGUGUAGCGGUGAAAUGCGCAGAGAUAUGGAGGAACACCAGUGGCGAAGGCGACUUUCUGGUCUGUAACUGACGCUGAUGUGCGAAAGCGUGGGGAUCAAACAGG